rnacentral:SRP_RNA from 1 species
CUGUGCUAGACGGGAAGGUAGCGGUGUCCUGUAACCUGCAAUCCGCUAUAGCAGGGUUGAAUUCCAUCUAGAGGCUUAUGUAUUGUAGGGCUGCCCUAAAUAAGUGGUGUUGACACUUAGGUCC